rnacentral:rRNA from 1 species
GAUGAACGCUGGCGGCGUGCCUAAUACAUGCAAGUCGAGCGAACAGACGAGGAGCUUGCUCCUUUGACGUUAGCGGCGGACGGGCGAGUAACACGUGGGUAACCUACCUAUAAGACUGGGAUAACUUCGGGAAACCGGAGCUAAUACCGGAUAAUAUUUCGAACCGCAUGGUUCGAUAGUGAAAGAUGGCUUUGCUAUCACUUAUAGAUGGACCUGCGCCGUAUUAGCUAGUUGGUAAGGUAACGGCUUACCAAGGCAACGAUACGUAGCCGACCUGAGAGGGUGAUCGGCCACACUGGAACUGAGACACGGUCCAGACUCCUACGGGAGGCAGCAGUAGGGAAUCUUCCGCAAUGGGCGAAAGCCUGACGGAGCAACGCCGCGUGAGUGAUGAAGGUCUUCGGAUCGUAAAACUCUGUUAUUAGGGAAGAACAAACGUGUAAGUAACUGUGCACGUCUUGACGGUACCUAAUCAGAAAGCCACGGCUAACUACGUG